ACCCGGAGCCGCGCUCUUGCGAGAGGCGGGACCCGGCAUCCCGCCUUCCCCGUGGGCGUGGGGCUGCCUUGGAGGGAGCCCCGUCAUUAACAUCCGAGAAAGAAGUGGGGCUGGACGGGAGCUGAGCUGAGCUGAGGCAGGGACGCCCCCGCCAGGGACGUGGGUUUUCCGGAAAACCUUAAAUUGGGAAAUUUUCCUAAGUAGAGCCGGAUCUGAUUUAGCACCUUUAUUUGCUUUGCGUUUAAUAAACAAAGCUAAAACAGGACCCCCCGCCCCCCACGUUAAUUUUAUGCCCGGAUAGCCACAAGUAUUUGAACUCAGAGAUUUGAUUAGGGGGAAAAAAUUAAAAACAGCACACUUAAUGUAGUUUUUGUUUGUGUUUGAAAAUAUAUAUCUGUGUGUGUGUGUGUGUGUGUGUGUAUUCAAACAGGUGUUAAUGCUGUACUCAAAGUUUUAUGUGGAAAGAAGUUAUUAGUUUAUUGGAAUAGUUAUAAAGCCAGUACACAACAGCAUGUACAUCCCGUAUAUUGUUUUUUUUCCCCCUUUAAUUUAAACAAAGGCACUGAAAACUGCUGACAUGCUUACGAGGUGUCAGCGCUUUGUGAUGGUUUCAAGCUUGUUUUUAAAAUCAUAAAAUGACGAGGGGAAAAAUGCAGCUGUAUCAGGUUGAGACGAUCUACUCGUACGUGAUGUCCAAACCACCCUCUACCAAUCCAUCAUCAAAUCUUCAUAAACCUUCUGUCAGCCCUGAUGCGACACAGAUCAAACAGCUUGGCCUGCACAGGCAUGAAGCAGAAGCCAGAAGAGAAGAAAGCCUGGAGAUGCUGCUGCUGCUGCUGCUGCUGCAGCUGGAGCAUCAGAGGGCAGAGCAACCAGCCCCACCCAUGGGAGUUUCCAAAGCCUGUUCCUCGUGCGUACGGACCGUAGACAUCAAAGAAGUUUGCACGCAGUGUGAUCACUUGAUAUGUCAGCAUUGCAGCAAACUCUGCAGUUGCUGUAACACUGUCAUUUGUUCCAUGUGUUGCACCAUUGAUUACAGUGAUGUUGGUGAUCAAGUUCUCUGCAGUGGUUGCUCAAUGUUUGAAGUCUAAAUUUUAAUGAUCUGCCAGUACCUCUUUGCGACUAAGAUGUCUCUAUAAAUUCUAUGAAGAAUCAUCUUUUUAUAGCUGAAUGACUAGCACUUCUAGUGGAUGGAGUUAACAAUGAGGUUGAUGUGUAUUGUAACUGACUGACUGAAAAUACUGAUUUCCUUCCAGGCUCCUGAAGAGAGUAUGCAGGCUGUUUGCAAACAAAGUGUAUUUCAGAAUUGCUGACAGAAGAUGAAGCCACCACAUGGUUAUCAGACAUCUUGAUCUGCAGCUCGUUCAGAGUUCCCAUGUGGCAGUGGGAAGCCCUUGAAAGAGGUCGCGAGAAAGUGUGGAAGAGAAAAGGACUCCUGCGGCACUGCUGGAUCUUGGCGGAGAUCUCCCACAAAGCCACAGCUCCUGCCACCAACGGCUGGAUCUUUGUGUAAGUGCCCAGCUGGCCUGGAGCUAUCUCAGUGCUAAAGGGGAAAGCUUAAUUAUGACUAGAAGCAAAGAUAGAGUUGAAGAAAUAAGCACAUGGGGGACGCGGUCUGUUGGUGUCUUCAUAUGGCACAGAGAGGCAAAGCCUGGAUUGCGUGACUGACAGUGCUAACACAUUCGAAUUGCUUUGUCAAGGAGGCGACUGGAUCCCACUCAUCCGUCUUUGAGUCGCUUCUCACACAUCCCAAUCUGAAUCUGAUCUCUUCUUGGGGACUCUGGCAGCUCCCCCGAAUUGCAGACUGGCUUUUUGCCCUCGGGUCAGUCAGAGGCUCUUCUGUUUUCACCUUCUUUUUGUACUCUGUUUAAACCAUAUUGCUCAAGUAUGUCAUUAUUAUGUGGCAUAUAAGACUUCUGACAUUUCUAAAAU